rnacentral:rRNA from 1 species
GACGAACGCUGGCGGCGUGCUUAAUACAUGCAAGUCGAACGGACAGGCCCUGCUCUUGUUCGGUGCUCGAUUGCCGAACGGGUGAGUAACACGCGAGUAACCUGCCCCUGACUUUCGGAUAACAUCAGGAAACUCGGGCUCAUACCGGAUAGGAGCUCCUGCUCCAUGGGGGGCGUUGGUAAGUUUCGGCGGUUGGGGAUGGUGUAGAGGGUUAUGCGCUUGUUGGUGGGGUAGUGGCUUACCAAGGCUUUGACGGAUAGGCGGCCUGAGAGGUGGACCGGCGACAUGGGGACUGAGAGAGGGAGCAGACUCCUACGGGCGGCAGCGGUGGGGAAUCUUGCGCAGUGGGCGGACGCGUGAGGCGACAGCCCCGCGUGCGGGAUGACGGGCUUCUAGUUGUAAACCGCUUUCGCCUGAACCAAAGCGUGAGUGACGGUAAUGGGUAAAAAAGCCCCGGCUAACUACGUG